rnacentral:lncRNA from 1 species
UUACUACCUUCAGAUUCCAAGUGCUGACUUCAACUGCCAAUAUCUCCUUCAUUUAAGCUUGGAAUUUGACAAACAGUAGGCAUAAAUUGUAGCCGAAAAAGUGCUCUCUUUAACUUUAGUCGCUGAUCCUCAUUUGCUAUCUGUAUGCGUGCGCAGUGCCCCAAAGAGUGACAAUAGGUCCAAAAACUAACACCUUAACUUUGAGCGCCUAUAACUUCUUCAUAAAAACCCCAAAUGACACAAAUUUUGCACCAAAACCAUACCCA